rnacentral:rRNA from 1 species
AUACGUAGGUGGCAAGCGUUGUCCGGAAUUAUUGGGCGUAAAGCGCAUGUAGGCGGUUUGGUAAGUCGGUCGUGAGAAUGCGGUGCUUAACGCCGUAUGGCGAUUGAAACUGCUGAACUUGAGUGCAGGAGAGGAAAGGGGAACUCCCAGUGUAGCGGUGAAAUGCGUAGAUAUUGGGAAGAACACCGGUGGCGAAGGCGCCUUUCUGGACUGUGGCGGACGCUCAGAUGCGAAAGCCAGGGUAGCGAACGGGAUUAGAUACCCCGGUAGUCCUGGCCGUAAACGAUGGGUACUAGGUGUGGGAGGUAUCGACUCCUUCCGUGCCGGAGUUAACGCAAUAAGUACCCCGCCUGGGGAGUACGGCCGCAAGGCUUAAACUUAAAGGAAUUGACGGGG